rnacentral:rRNA from 1 species
AUGUACGCCGGCUCCAGCCCCACUUCAGAGAUUCGGAACUCGGAACUGCGCUGCAUCCGUCCACCUGAACGUGUUCUUCAAGUGCUCCACCCUGGCUGCGAUCUCCUCCUCGCUGAGAAAUGCAACACAAUGCAGCGCGUGCUUGAACAUCCCAGUGUGACGGGGUAUACCUAUGUUUUCAGCGCAUCCCACCAUCGCCUGGAGACACUGUAGGUUGGCGGUGAUCAACCUCAGUCUUCGGACGCACAGCUUGGCAAUAUCGCAAUCUCGUAA